rnacentral:tRNA from 1 species
GACUUUUUAGUAUAAUUAAGUAUGUCUAAUUUCCAAUUAGGUGGUUAAGAAGUUA